CAGCCGCCGCGGUAAUACGUAGGGUGCGAGCGUUAAUCGGAAUUACUGGGCGUAAAGCGUGCGCAGGCGGUUGUGUAAGACAGGUGUGAAAUCCCCGGGCUUAACCUGGGAACUGCGCUUGUGACUGCACAGCUAGAGUAUGGCAGAGGGGGGUGGAAUUCCACGUGUAGCAGUGAAAUGCGUAGAGAUGUGGAGGAACACCGAUGGCGAAGGCAGCCCCUUGGGCCAAUACUGACGCUCAUGCACGAAAGCGUGGGGAGCAAACAGGAUUAGAUACCCGCGUAGUCCCUGUCUCUUAUAC
rnacentral:rRNA from 1 species